rnacentral:rRNA from 1 species
UACGUAGGGUGCGAGCGUUAUUCGGAAUUACUGGGCGUAAAGGGCGCGCAGGCGGCGUCGCAAGUCAGGCGUGAAAUCCCCGGGCUUAACCUGGGAAUUGCACUUGAAACUACGAUGCUGGAGUAUGGCAGAGGGAGGUGGAAUUCCACGUGUAGCGGUGAAAUGCGUAGAGAUGUGGAGGAACACCGAUGGCGAAGGCAGCCUCCUGGGCCAAUACUGACGCUCAUGCACGAAAGCGUGGGGAGCAAACAGG